UUGUCCUCCUGAAGGAGAGCUUGGAGGGAGGGACUGAGCAGUUGGUUGGUGUGAAGCAGAUGGGCAACUUAUGAGUUCCAGGUUCCAGAAAGGAAGCUCAUCUAAUUCAACCUCCUCAUUUUACAGAUGAGGGAACUGAGGUGGACAGAGGGAAGAAUUUUGUAAUUCUUGGUGAAAACACAUGAGAAAGUAAAGACAGGAAGAGAAAACAGGGAAAGAGAAGAUGGAGGCCAAGAUACCAUGGGGAUUGGCCAAGAGGAUAUUCAGGGCGGAAAGAUGGAAGUCAAGCCCUCAGCAAAGAAAUACGUGAAGCCAAGGACGAUCAUGUGCAUUGCUUCCCGCUGUCUACAAUGCAGGCCUCAGGCCCUCCCAGGGCUUUCCUCAGCUCCUGGGACUUCUUCACCCUGGAUCAACUGUCUACCAUGUCAUUUGUCCCCUUUCUCCCACUGUUGAGUUCUUUGGGGGGGGCCUCCAUUUUGGGGAUGGAUCCAGGCUGGUGAGAAGUCACUCCCUUUCUGGCUGAAGUUCUGUCUCUGUGGAAUUCACCACCGUGGAUGGGGUGGCAUUCUCUCCACCCACCCCUGCCUGUUCUGCAGCUCAUUUCCUCUUUAGAAGAGACAGAUUCAAACAAAAAUAUCCGUUAAAGCACCCACCACUGGAAAGCAGGAAGGAGAAGAUGAAGGAGAGGACAGAGGGAGAGGCUUCACUGGAGAAACGGCUCAGGAUGAAGUUUCUAAAUGUUCCUGGUGAUGCGGGCUGCUUUCAUUCCUACUGACGGUGACUCUGGGGAGCAGGGCUCUAACUAUCCCCCAGGGAGGCCUCAGGAACCAGUCCUUGUUCCCAAGAGCAUCUCUGCCGCCUAACUAACUAGCUGCGUGCCUUUAUGAAGGAAUGAGAUGUCUGGGUAGCUUUGGAAGUAGGAUUAAAAAAAAUACCAAUGGGAGAUUGCAUUUUUUAAAUUAAGUAUUCAUGUUCUGGGUUGCAUCUUAGUCUGCAAUUAAACGAGGGAGAGUAGGGAAGGAAUGGUGAGAUUCAAUCCAAAGCAACAAACAUUUAUAACAUUUAUGAAGUAUCUAGUAUGGUCAAAGACUGAUGAGAGAUGGAAAGAAAAAAAUUGUAGUGAGACGAGACAAAUCAAUGAUUUUGUGAGAAUGUGUGGGUGAAGUACCAACUCCCAACGAGGUAGUGCUGAACAAUGAUGAUUGGAUAAAAUUCAGGAGAGAGAAACAGAAACAGAGAAAGAGAGACAGAGAGAGACAGAGAUAGAGAGAUAGAGAGACAGAGAGACAGAGAGAGGAUCCAUAGACCAAAGCCCGGGAAACUAGAAGGUGGCAGAGCAAACCCAGCCUACGUGCAGGCUGUGUGUGUGGGGGAUGAAAUUCCAUUGUAUUAAUGUAAUUGGUAAGCUGGCCUGUGGUGGCCAUUCUUUGGAGCCUGUGCUGAUAUUUCAUGCCUGCUUUUAAUUGACCAUGUGGAAUCUUGGAAGAAGGAAGCCUACUUCUGGCCAUGCAUGAUAAGGAUCUUGUCUUGUGUGAUGGUGAAGCCUCUCCUAAUUGGUCCCUGAGCCAGAAUAGCUGAUGACAGUGGAUGACCUACAAAAAAGCAUCCUUCUCCUCCACCUGUCAUCUCUUGAGAUCCAGCUGUGGAUCAUGUAGAAAACAUGGACCAAAAUAUUUGUAGAAGCACAUUUUGUGGUAGGAAAAAAAAAGCAAAAUGGAUGUGCAUUGAUUGGGGAAUGACUGAACAAACUGCGGUAUGCAGAUAUUCCAUUGAAUAUUAUUGUACCGUAAGAAACAAUACGUAUUAAAAAUUCAUAGGACCUCGGUAAGACUUGUGUGAACUGAUGUAUCCCAAACUAAGAACAAUGAUUAGAAUAAUGUAAAUGAAAACAAUUCUAGAAAGCAGGCAAACUCAGAUUAAUUGUAAUGACUGGAUAAUGAAGAUCUUCCUCUUCUCAUUUAAGAGGUGGAGAGAAGGAAUAAACAUUUAUUAAGCACCUACUAUGUGCCAGGCACUGUGCUAAGCACUUCAUAAAUGCUAU